AACUAACAAGGAUUCCCCUAGUAACUGCGAGUGAAGCGGGAAAAGCUCAAAUUUAAAAUCUGGCAGUCUUUGGCUGUCCGAGUUGUAAUCUAGAGAAGCAUUAUCCGCGCUGGACCGUGUACAAGUCUCCUGGAAUGGAGCGUCAUAGAGGGUGAGAAUCCCGUCUUUGACACGGACUGCCAGGGCUUUGUGAUGUGCUCUCAAAGAGUCGAGUUGUUUGGGAAUGCAGCUCAAAAUGGGUGGUAAAUUCCAUCUAAAGCUAAAUAUUGGCGAGAGACCGAUAGCGAACAAGUACCGUGAGGGAAAGAUGAAAAGAACUUUGGAAAGAGAGUUAAACAGUACGUGAAAUUGCUGAAAGGGAAACGCUUGAAGUCAGUCGCGUUGGCCUGGGAUCAACCUUGCUUUUUUGCUUGGCUUACUUCCUGGUUGACGGGUCAGCAUCAAUUUUGACUGGUGGAAAAAGUUCAUUGGAAUGUGGCAUCUUCGGAUGUGUUAUAGCCUUUGCUCACAUACAUCAGUUGGGAUUGAGGAACUCAGCACGCCGCAAGGCCGGGUUUUUAACCACGUACGUGCUUAGGAUGCUGGCAUAAUGGCUUUAAUCGACCCGUCUUGAAACACGGACCAAGGAGUCUAACAUGCCUGCGAGUGUUUGGGUGGAAAACCCGAGCGCGUAAUGAAAGUGAAAGUUGAGAUCCCUGUCGUGGGGAGCAUUGACGCCCAGAUCUGACCUUUUGUGACGAUCCUGCGGUAGAGCAUGUAUGUUGGGACCCGAAAGAUGGUGAACUAUGCCUGAAUAGGGUGAAGCCAGAGGAAACUCUGGUGGAGGCUCGUAGCGAUUCUGACGUGCAAAUCGAUCGUCAAAUUUGGGUAUAGGGGCGAAAGACUAAUCGAACCAUCUAGUAGCUGGUC
rnacentral:rRNA from 1 species